rnacentral:lncRNA from 1 species
GGCGGAGCAGGAAAGGACCUGGUGUUUAACACUGAGCCCUUGCCGUCCGUGGAUAACCGAAUACGAAUGCUAGAUGCCUGUGCUCACUCUGAAGACCCAGAACAUGAUAUUUCAGGGGAAAUGAGUUCUGCUCACAUAGCACAAGGUUCUCAGGAGUCUUGCAUCACCCGAAGUGGGGACUUCCUUGGGGAGACUAUUGGGAAUGAGUUGUUUAAUUGUCGGCAGUUCAUUGGNCCACAGCACCACCACCACCACCACCACCACCACCACCAUCACCACCACCACCACCACCACCACCACCACCACCACGAUGGACAUAUGGUUGACGAUAUGCUAAGUGCAGAUGAUGUCAGCUGCAGUAGCUCGCAGGUCAGUGCAAAAUCAGAAAAAAACAUGGCUGAUUUUGAUGGUGAAGAAUCUGGAUGUGAAGAGGAACUAGUUCAGAUAAAUUCACAUGCAGAACUAACAUCUCAUCUUCAACAACAUCUUCCCAAUUUAGCAUCGAUUUACCAUGAGCAUCUUAGUCAAGGCCCUGCAGUUCAUAAACAUCAAUUUAGUAGCAAUGCUGUGACAGAUAUUAAUUUGGAUAAUGUUUGCAAGAAAGGAAAUACUUUAUUGUGGGAUAUAGUGCAAGAUGAUGAUGCGAUUAAUCUUUCUGAAGGAUUAAUAAAUGAGGCAGAGAAACUUCUCUGUUCUUUGGUUUGUUGGUUUACGGAUAGACAGAUUCGAAUGAGAUUCAUUGAAGGCUGCCUUGAAAAUUUAGGGAAUUCAGAUCAGUAGUGAUUUCACUUCGUCUCCUCCCGAAGCUGUUUGGUACU